rnacentral:rRNA from 1 species
GACGAACGCUGGCGGCGUGCUUAACACAUGCAAGUCGAACGGAAAGGCCCUGCUUUUGUGGGGUGCUCGAGUGGCGAGCGGGUGAGUAACACGUGAGUAACCUGCCCUUGACUUUGGGAUAACUUCAGGAAACUGGGGCUAAUACCGGAUAGGAGCUCCUGCUGCAUGGUGGGGGUUGGAAAGUUUCGGUGGUUGGGGAUGGACUCGCGGCUUAUCAGCUUGUUGGUGGGGUAGUGGCUUACCAAGGCUUUGACGGGUAGCCGGCCUGAGAGGGUGACCGGCCACAUUGGGACUGAGAUACGGCCCAGACUCCUACGGGAGGCAGCAGUGGGGAAUAUUGCACAAUGGGCGGAAGCCUGAUGCAGCAACGCCGCGUGCGGGAUGACGGCCUUCGGGUUGUAAACCGCUUUCGCCUGUGACGAAGCGUGAGUGACGGUAAUGGGUAAAGAAGCACCGGCUAACUACGUG